GAUGAAGAACGCAGCGAAAUGCGAUACGUAAUGUGAAUUGCAGAAUUCAGUGAAUCAUCGAAUCUUUGAAGGCAUAUUGCGCUCUCUGGUAUUCCGGAGAGCAUGCUUGUUUGAGUAUCAGUAAACACCUCAACUUCCAUAUCUUUUUUGAAAUGGGAGUUGGACUUGAGUGAUCCCAACGCUUUUCCUCACCGAAAAGUGGCGGGUUACUUGAAAUGCAGGUGCAGCUGGACUUUUCUCUGAGCUAUAAGCAUAUCUAUUUAGUCUGCCUAAAAAACAGAUUAUUACCUUUGCUGCAGCUAACAUAAAGGAGAUUAGUUCUUGUGCUGACUGAUGCAGGAUUCACAAAGACAGGCUUCGGCCGACUUUGUAAACUCGAUCUCAAAUCAAGUAAGACUACCCGCUGAACUUAAGCAUAUCAAUAAGCGGAGGA
rnacentral:misc_RNA from 1 species